CCAGUCUGUUCUGGAAAACUUAUCUAUACUCACUUACGAUAGAACUAGAAGGUCAACGGUAUGGGAACAUAACCUCACGACAUAUUUAAAAAGGCGUUUGCUGAUACACGUCAAUGGAAUAAAUAAUUUUUGGUUGUGAGAAAUUUAUGGACGUUACUGUAAUCCCCGGCAUCAUGAGAGAGGAAAAAACAAGAGGAAAAAACCAAUCUAUAGGCCGCACUGUAGAUCAAUCCAUUUUAUGAAUACGAACAGCACGGCCGCAUUCUUAGUCUACACAUCAUUCGCAUCGGGUAUGGCUAUAUUGAUAAAGCCCACCAGUAGCAGUAACCCAUACAUGGCUUCCCUUUAACAGCACUCUCUCACUCACUGGUCGCACGCCCACACACAGAUGGUUCGCACUGUCACACAGGAAGAAGCCUGUCAUUGGAUAGCUGCCUUCCGCGGAAGCCCGCGUUUAAGAUCUCGUUUCGGCAAUCAAUUUUAUUUCGUCCAAAACUGCUUCCACUGCCACUAUUCCACCCGUUAUCUUCUUUUACUAAGCGCACUGUGUUGUUGGUGUUAUUGGUUCGACAAACGGAUAAAAAUAUUCUAAUUCAACGAUUUUGCGAUCAAAGAAUUUUCUAAGAUUUAUACCAAUUAUAAUUAUGAUAUCAAUAAAUUUUUCAAUGCCAAGAACAUUGUAGAUAAGACCUUUUUGUAGAAAAGAUAUUUGAAUCUAGGUUACAGAGUAUCUUCUUUAGAUGACUGCCAUCGUAUAAAGCCGCUCUUCGCGAUAGUUGGUGAGUCAGUUGUAUGUUGCCUUUGUAAGCAGGAUAAAAACUAGUGCAAAAAACUCAACAUGAAAACAUUAAAGUUCUUAAUCAUGAUCGCUUUGAUCGCAUUCUCUAUCACAUUUAUGAUGGUAUUCGCGGAAGAAAGUGACCAUGAAAAAUGCAUGGGAAAAUGCAAUGCUUGGCAGAAACAGCAGGCAUCAAAGAAACUCUUGACGGGAAUCAACUGUCAUCAUGCUUGUACCAUGAAGACUAUGGGA